rnacentral:rRNA from 1 species
GAUGAACGCUAGCGGCAGGCCUAAUACAUGCAAGUCGGACGGGAUUCAGGAGCUUGCUUCUGAUGAGAGUGGCGCACGGGUGCGUAACACGUAUGUAACCUACCUUUAUCAGGGGGAUAGCCUCUCGAAAGAGAGAUUAAGCCCGCAUAAAAUCACAGCACAGCAUUGUGUAAUGAUCAAAUAUUUAUAGGAUAAAGAUGGGCAUGCGGAACAUUAGCUAGAUGGCGGGGUAACGGCCCACCAUGGCGACGAUGUUUAGGGGAUCUGAGAGGAUGGCCCCCCACACUGGUACUGAGACACGGACCAGACUCCUACGGGAGGCAGCAGUAAGGAAUAUUGGUCAAUGGGCAGAAGCCUGAACCAGCCAUGCCGCGUGCAGGAAGACGGCCCUACGGGUUGUAAACUGCUUUUAUACGGGAAUAAACCCAGAUACGUGUAUCUGGCUGAAUGUACUGUAAGAAUAAGGAUCGGCUAACUCCGUG